CAACCUUUACGACUAUAAUCACUCCACUUCGGUGGAUAAGCCACAAACAGUCAUUUGUGCGGCUCUUAGCUCUGGAAACCUUACAGGGCAUUUGCCAGAAAGGAGAAACUGAUUGCACAGCAGGAAAUGGAGAUGUCAAUGCAUUAAAUUCUGGAAUUGUUGGAAGUGCCAGCUUUAGUUCAUACCAACAACAUGAAUACUGAACCCUGACUUAUGUUAUCACGUUCUUUCUCUGAAGUAGAAUAACUAGAGGUGGAUUGUAGUGUUGAACUGUAGAACUAUUCUGUGUUCGCUUAUUUAUUUGUUUUCUAUUUUUCCGAGUUGCAUGUUUGAGAAUAUUUUCUAAAACUGUUUCAAGCAUAACAUAUAGUAACUAGAUUCAUUACCUAUAGUACUUGUAGAUAUUACCAGUUUAUUUUCUGAUACAUGUAUAUUAUUUUCAACACCAUUCAAUUAUUAUUAAAGCUGAAAUACACGUUUU